rnacentral:lncRNA from 1 species
UUAAAUUUUGCAGUUGAACUAUUAUUCGAUCUGUUUUUUUAACGACACAAAGUAUUACAGUAUUUAUUUUUCAAUGUAUAUCAUUCGAUACUAAUACAGAGGAGUAGCAUCCGAAUUUGCAUGUUGUAAGAGAGUAAAAAUGGAACACAAUAAUGCCAAUAGAGAGAUGCAGAAGAAUAGAAGAUGGCGUAGUAAAUGAAGAGUAUGACGACAAAUGCAAGGAUAUUUCGUUGCUACUUCCUCAUGGACCCCGGCUCCUUUUUCAUCUUUCAUGAAUUGCAAACAACCAAUUUAGCCAAGAGCUUUAUUUGCUUGCUCCUCGAUCUGCUAAAAUCCACAAUUGAUCGAGAAACGUCACUUUUCUUCCAUCUCUAUCUUACUCCAACCAAGACCAACACUUCUCUCUUCAUCAUAAUCACGCCUUACUCCUCCUCCUCCUUUCCCUUAGCUUUUGAGAUUACUCGAAUAAUAAAACAAAAACCAUACGUUCAAAAGUUAUGAACUAAUGAUUAAUAUGUGAAUACUAAAUAAAAAUGAUGUGGCCAUCCAUCAAAGGCGCAUUGAUAUUAGCGCUGUGUGAAUUGCCAACAUUGUAAAUAAAUUUGGUAUCC